rnacentral:rRNA from 1 species
UUCCGGUUGAUCCUGCCGGACCUGACUGCUAUCGGAUUGAUACUAAGCCAUGCGAGUCAUUGUGGCAAUACAAGGCAUACGGCUCAGUAACGCGUAGUCAACCUAACCUAUGGACGGGAAUAACCUCGGGAAACUGAGAAUAAUGCCCGAUAGAACACUAUACCUGGAAUGGUUUGUGUUCCAAAUGAUUUAUCGCCAUAGGAUGGGACUGCGGCCCAUCAGUUUGUUGGUGAGGUAAUGGCCCACCAAGACUAUUACAGGUACGGGCUCUGAGAGGAGUAGCCCGGAGAUGGGUACUGAGACACGGACCCAGGCCCUAUGGGGCGCAGCAGGCGAGAAAACUUUGCAAUGUGCGAAAGCACGACAAGGUUAAUCCGAGUGAUUUGUGCUAAACGAGUCUUUUGUUAGUCCUAGAAACACUAACGAAUAAGGGGUGGGCAAGUUCUGGUGUCAGCCGCCGCGGUAAAACCAGCACCUCAAGUGGUCAGGAUGAUUAUUGGGCCUAAAGCAUCCGUAGCCGGCUCUGUAAGUUUUCGGUUAAAUCUGUACGCUUAACGUACAGGCUGCCGGGAAUACUGCAGAGCUAGGGAGUGGGAGAGGUAGACGGUACUCGGUAGGAAGUGGUAAAAUGCUUUGAUCUAUCGAUGACCACCUGUGGCGAAGGCGGUCUACCAGAACACGUCCGACGGUGAGGGAUGAAAGCUGGGGGAGCAAACCGGAUUAGAUACCCGGGUAGUCCCAGCUGUAAACUAUGCGAACUCAGUGAUGCAUUGGCUUGUGGCCAAUGCAGUGCUGCAGGGAAGCCGUUAAGUUUGCCGCCUGGGAAGUACGUACGCAAGUAUGAAACUUAAAGGAAUUGGCGGGGGAGCACCACAAGGGGUGAAGCCUGCGGUUCAAUUGGANUCAACGCCGGG